AGUAGAAUGGCUGAGAAAUUAGGUGAAAGAUUGUAAAUCUUUUAAGGGGUUAAAACUCUUCUACUA
rnacentral:tRNA from 1 species